UAACUCGUUAGAAUGCUUCCUAAUUCAGUUAUAUUGAAUGAAAAGCUAUACUUACAGAAAUCAAUCAUCAACGUUUUAAAAGGGUCGUUAACCAAUCAUUUAAUUCUUCUAAAUUCAAAAAAUUUCUGUCAAAGACGCUUGCUCAAAGUUGGAAUGUUCACAACUUUCACCAACUCCCGUUAUACUCCUACGAAUCACUGCACUUACUGUCACACAUGUCAAAAAAUCAUUUACAAUAGUGUGCAAGUUGUACUGAACUCCACUAAGCGUUCUCUGGUCUCAGCGUCAAUGCAGAGAUCUGUGGCAAUUGCCCUGAUGGGUUAUCCUGAGAAAAGUUCUUUUGGGAUAACACAAAGGAACAUUCUAACAGAAAGAUGUACACCCAGAAUGAAUUCUCUUGUGGGAUACCAGUCUUGGAUAAAAACUAUUUGUGUUUAUACUAUACCAUUAGGCACAAAUCCAUACCAUCUGUGAGAUGUCCACGAAACACAUAUAUCUAUACUGUGUGUUUAUCUUGCUAAUAAAACAAACCACAUAGUAACUACUUAUAAAACGAUCAAUUUUGCUCCAUCACUGACCGUUUCUCUGCAUCACAUUUACCCUCAACACUUACAACAUUUCAUCAGCACAGCAACUAAUGAAUCUUACUUUUCUAGACUAUUGUUUAUUAUUCCUGUUUAUAUUUACUACAAUUUACUAUGAUUAA